CUGCUUCAGCAGCACAUAUGCUAGAAUUGGAACAAUACAGUGAAGAUUACAAUGGGUCCUAUACAAGAAUGGCAUGCAAAUUUGUGAAGUGUUCCAUAUUAUU